AUGAAGAGUUUUUCCGUCACUUCUUUGAGAAGCCACUUUGCCUUCGUGAUCCAUCUCCUUCCUCUGGUCUUUACUCAAAUUGCGUUUUCCAGCAUUGUUUGUUCUUUGUUUUGCGGAGAGCUUCUCCUGCUGCUUUUGUGUUGCAGCUCCUCCAUCCGCACCAGCCUUGUCCCUAACGAGGGGCUGUGGAGUGACUCUGCCUCAUUUAAUAAGACCCAAGAGAGACAAGAGGGAAGGAGAGAAAGGCUUCUUGUGCACACAGAAGGGAAGUCAUGCUGGAGCUGCAUGGCAGGAACAAAGAAGUGAUUCAUAACUGAGGCUGAGGAAGAGUGUGUGAAGGGAGAGGAAGGCCUUGAGACAGCUCCACCGCUGGGAACGUGCCCUGGGGGAAGGCUCUUCAUGCUCAAAGACCAACCCAGGGCAGACCGCACGUGCAUGAGAAUUUUGCAAUAUAAUGCCCUAAGUAUCAUCUCCUAGCCUUGGGGAAGGAUAAGAAGGGAAUCAGUGCAGGCAAAGUGAUGCCUGUUCAAUUUGUUUUCAACACAUUGUCAGCUCUUUCUUAUAUUCUCUAACCUCUGGUAAUGACAAGGGGAAAAGAAGCUGAUGAGAGAUUGGUUUCUCUGCUUUAAACCUCCAGGCACCUCGUGUGAGUAGCACAUCAUAUGCACCGCGUUGUCCUAGGUACACGAGAGCUCUGGGAUCUUACGUUUUGAUGAUGCCUCAUUUCUUAGGGUAAAUAAGAAGCACGUUUGGUGGAAGUCCAAAGAGUUUCUCUGAUUAGUUAGAGCCUCUGCUGAGAAAUCAAUUAGUCUAAAGUUUGAAUGCUCUUUAGGAUUAUGACACUUGCUAAAUUGGGUUCAGAGAGCACUGGGUGGACAAAAAGGUGCCUGUUUUUAUUAUUCUGUAUGAGAGCAUUCAUGUGUGCUCAGACAAAAAGGGGCAGAUAGAAAAAGCCGUUUCCCUCCAGACACCAGUCUCCAUUUCCAAGCAACAUCAGAGGGAACUGAAAGGAACACAGGGACAAGAAGAGAUUUGAGAUGAGCUUUGCUCGUUGCUGCAGGGUACAAGAUGGAAAUAUGAACGGCUCCCUUUGAUUAAUGUAUGCCCAAGGUCACACAUGCAACUGUAACAGUCAAUAGCAAUCAGAUUAGUGUAAUGUAUUAUUCAGUGUUUAUGAUGGUAAAUUUGUAUAGCGCCCGUGAGGCAGCUUUUAUCCCCUUGAAAUGUUUUCUGAAUGCCAUUUGGGAUUGACACAGAGCUGAGAACCUCCAGCUGAUGUUCCUCCUGUAUAAUUAGCCACUUCCAUUGUUUCUGCGUGGACAUAUGCUUGGAUGUAGUUGUUCUGCGGUUGGUUACCAGCCUAAUGGUUUUGCCCCCAAGAGUUAUGAUAUGGAAAAUAAUAAAAAGGAAUGCUUUUAAUUGAAGGUCCCGAGUGCUUUACAAGUCCUGCUUAUUAGGCUUUGCUGCACACUGGUGAUCGCUGCAUGUACCUGCAGUUCUUGGCCCAUCACUGAGCGUGCAACAGCCUGCAGGAUGCAGCGCUGCUGUGUGAAAUCCCUGUCACCCUCUUGUUGCCAAAAGGGCUGUGGAUCCUGAGCAGGGCCUGAUGGAGGCAGAUCCAGGCAAGAAUGUGAAAUCCUGAGAGGCCCCAGUAGGCUGCUAGCAUCCAGGUUAAUGACGUGCAGCAGAGAAGUGGGUCUGUAUAAAACUCAGGGCUGAGGAGAACUCACCGGGUUAGGCAUUUUAUGAAAUUUGUGAAUGUAGGCACAUCAGACCUUUCCAGGGCUUGGUCACUUUGAACUCCAGUGAAUAAUUUUAUGCAGUGGCUCUCAAAACCCCUCACUUGAAAACUAGCUCUUCUUAAUUGGCUUGGAGGCGAGCCAUCUCUCGUGGACUGCGAAGUAUCUAGAAAGCUGUUGGCAGCGCGCAACAGACAGCAGCAUGCUGCAGCUAGUUAGGGGAAGCAGUACUAGGAGUACCUUGGGGACUUCUUUUAUAUCCAGUUGUGUUCAAAAGUACCGUUAAUGACCUGGAAAAGCAGAUAAAGA
ensembl:lncRNA